CUGUGAAUAAAUUUGUUGUCCCAGGGGUAUUCUCAACGGCUUUGUCAUGCUCAGCAGAACGUUAAACUAAGCAUUAUCACGUCUUUCAAGCAACGCGAAGCUUAUUGCGACCCAAAAGGUGAUACUUAGCCUAAAGUCGAAAUUACAGCAAACAUUGCAUCGCUUUAGUCAAUCUUAGCAGUUUGUAAUGUUAUUUGAAAAUCGUCAAACA